GCUUCGGGAAUUUGGCCAGGCGCAAUAAAGUGAAUAUGGCUAUCAAUCCCGCCAGCGGUGACGAUCAUAUGCUCGCCAGCGAUCACCUCGGUAUUCGCGCCAACCACCAAUUCAGGGUCAACUCCGGCCAUGGUAUCAGGAUUGCCAGCCUUGCCAACUUUAACAAUUCGGCCUUGUUUGAUCCCAAUAUCACCUUUGACGAUGCCCCAAUGAUCGAUAAUGAUCGCGUUGGUAAUGACUAAAUCGAGCACAUCGUGGGCGCUGCUGCUUUGGCCCAUGCCAUCGCGAAU
rnacentral:sRNA from 1 species